rnacentral:lncRNA from 10 species
AACCGGGGCGGGGGACACCAGGGCCGCGGCCGGAGUCUCGGGCCGACCGAGAGCCGAAGCCCAAAGUGAGGUGUGAGGCCCGCGAUGCGGCGUGCGCGCCCACGGAGACGGGCUGCUCGGCCACCAAACUGUUGCUCUCGCUGUUCUCUGUUCAGUGGAACUGAAACUCGGGGAGGGUUGGGAGAGGACUUAGGAAGCGGUGGGCAGAUGUAUGAGCCAUAAGUAGUGAUGAUCCCCAAAAGGCUGUCAGUGCAUUGCUAAAUGGCAAAAGUUGAACAUUUUUUUCCUGCCAACAAUUUUCGAAGCAUGCCUCCCGGAACUUGGGGAUUCUUUUAUCAGGCCCAAGGGAGGGAAAGCAUCUAUUGGUAGCAGAUGGGUAUUUAUCCUGGCAGCUCCGCUUCUCAAACUUGAAAGUGGAGUUGGGUCACGUGGGCUCACGCACUUUCCCUCCUCUUCUGCGCCCCGAUCCUGCUUGGAAAAUCCUCGAAGAUCCCAGUCAUCUGUCAAAUUCUGCCAACCAAGGGCCGCUUCUUGGGGGCGAGAGAGCCGCCUCCGUUGUUUCCUCCCAGCUCCUGGAACGUAAUUCUUGCUCUUGGUGACAUCAAGCAAAUAUGUGUCCACCGCCCGUCAGGAAAUUUUAAGAGAAUAAAGCCCAUUCGCCUUGUCUCCGAUCCUCCCCAAGAUCCACUGAAAACCUUUCCAGUUGGUCCAACUUAAGCUGCCAUUGUGCGGGGUCCUGAAAAAACUGAAGUUCAGUAGAUAGACUUUGUUUAGAAGAGAAAAAGUUCAGUUUUCAAAAUCCAAAGGAAAGUUUGUAAAUUGAUACAUUUGUUACUUUAAAAAUGUUGGGCCAGGCGCAGUGGCUGGUGUUUGUAAUCCCAGCACUUCGGGAGGUCAAAGCGGGAGGAUCGCUUAAGCCCAGGAGUUAGAGACCAGCCUGGCAACAUGGCAAAACGCCCUCUCAACCAAAUAAAAAAAAAUUAGCCGGGCAGGAUGGCGCGUGCCUGUGGUCCCAGCUACGGGAGAGGCGGGGGCGGGGGGCGGGAUGGCUUGGGUCCAGGAGGUGAAGCGUUUGCAUUAGGUCUCCGGGGAUUGCAGCAGCUUGAUUCUAGGGGAUGACAAGAAAGGGAUAGAAACGUGAUCUUUAACUAGUCACAUAAGUGGUAUGAUCAUAUAUAUCUGUCCCAUAGUUAAGAGGCAUCACCCAACGUGAAACUAAAAUAUGAAAUGCCACAGUUUAUAAAUUAAUGUAAAAUAAGUUAUGAUACUUCUGUGAUAGUGUUUGUUAUGCAGCCAAUA